AUGCUUGCCCAAGGUAUCAUUGCGCCCAGCUCCAGUCCCUUCGCCUCACCAGUGCUGCUAGUUCAGAAGAAAGACUUGUCCUGGCGUUUCUGUGUGGACUACCGUCAACUUAAUGCGGUGACAGUCAAAAACCGCUAUCCUCUGCCUAUCAUCGACGAGCUCCUGGACAAGCUGGCUGGGUCGACACUGUUCACCAGUUUGGAUCUCCGGGCAGGAUAUCAUCAAAUUCGGAUGAAGCCUGAAGAUGAACACAAAACCGCUUUCAAGACCCACCAGGCCACUUCGAGUUCAAAGUAUUGGCGUAUGGCCUCACAGGGGGACCGGCAACAUUUCAAGGUGGCAUGA
rnacentral:rRNA from 1 species